GUGGGGAAUAUUGGACAAUGGGCGAAAGCCUGAUCCAGCCAUGCCGCGUGUGUGAAGAAGGUCUUCGGAUUGUAAAGCACUUUAAGUUGGGAGGAAGGGCAGUAAGUUAAUACCUUGCUGUUUUGACGUUACCGACAGAAUAAGCACCGGCUAACUUCGUGCCAGCAGCCGCGGUAAUACGAAGGGUGCAAGCGUUAAUCGGAAUUACUGGGCGUAAAGCGCGCGUAGGUGGUUUUGUAAGUUGGAGGUGAAAUCCCCGGGCUCAACCUGGGAACUGCCUCCAAAACUGCAUGACUAGAGUACGGUAGAGGGUAGUGGAAUUUCCUGUGUAGCGGUGAAAUGCGUAGAUAUAGGAAGGAACACCAGUGGCGAAGGCGACUACCUUGACUGAUACUGACACUGAGGUGCGAAAGCGUGGGGAGCAAACAGGAUUAGAAACCCUGGUAGUCC
rnacentral:rRNA from 1 species